rfam:Glycine max cultivar Williams 82 chromosome 1, whole genome shotgun sequence.
UUGAACUGUGAUGAGCCUAUAGACCUGUAAUGAUUUGCGGGUAUGAUCACAAUCAUUAAUGAACAUCUAAGGGACUGAAUUAUU